rnacentral:lncRNA from 1 species
AUGUCUCGACUACUUCUUAAAAGUGUUUGUUGAAUGAAAAAGUAUUAAAAAAAUAGGAAAAAUAUGCUCAGAGAAGACACGUGAAAGGUUCAGGGCAUCAAUAAAUAAACUGUGUGAUAUUUCAGCAUUUAAAGUCUACUAAACAUUACGGGGAUUUUGAAUUUCAACUUGGAAAGUCGAGUGGCUGUUCUCAUAAAAUCAGCAAAAAUAUCCACAGGUUGGCUACGCUUGGUCGAGAUGCUAUUUUAAAUCAAAGAGAGAAAAAAGUACAUCAUCGAAUGUCAAGAGCAAAUUAGAGCAGCGCAUAAUAAUUUAUCUAAAAGAACAUGAGAUAUUAAUACGAGUGAAGAAGUUAAAAAGUUCUCAACGAGGAUGAUGAAAACACAAACAUUUCAGAAAAUGACGAAUUUUACCUAUGUCACCAAAAAAAAAAAGAAGAUCACCAGCCCUUAUUUCUCAGUUGAAUCCAAAAACACUUACUAAAUUAUUAAAGUUUCCGAUCGCUUACACAUACGCGUUAGAGGCACAAUGGCUCUUGAACAGUUUGCUAUUUCUAAAUUGAAUUUUGUCGUCAACAUAAGAAAGAACAAGAAAGUCAAUUUCAUCAAUUAAAAUGUAAUUAUCAAUGCAACUGUCCGCUUCAUUAAUUCUGCCACUGGAAUAGCAAACUUGUUUCGUCGCUUAACGGUAAAACUAAUCAGACAUUGCUUUAUUACGUAAAAUAUUAAUCUUAAGAUAACUUUUAAUUUAUUUCUUAAACAAGAUGCCAUCCUUAAAAGUGGAAGGAUGGUUUGGCUGAAGGUUCAAAUCCCAAAGUUCUCGGGAUUCCUACAAUCCCAUUUGCUACUGGUGUAGCCCAAAAAGAUCAACUUAUCAACCAUUUUAAAUCAUGGAAGCUACUUGAUGAUUUGAUUGCUUUUUGCUUUGAUACUACAACUAGUAACACCGACUAUAAAGCAGGAUGUGCUGCUUUAAUUGAGAAGGAUAUUGGUUGUGCAAUUUUAUAAGCUGCUUGUCGGCACCACAUUUACGAGUUACACAUUUAACAUGUCUGUGAAGCAGUUAUUCAAAACCAUAGUGAGCCAAUUCAUCUGCUACUUAAAAUGCUUCAGGAUAACUGGGAAUCAAUUUCCCAAAAAAAAAAAAGAUAUUCAGUUUGAAUUUCCUGCAAACGGAGAUAACUCAACCAAUUGUCAAGAAAAAUUUGUCUUAAAAUGGGCCAGUAAUUGCUUACAAAAAAUACAUUUCCGAGAGAAGAUUAUUGAGAACAUAUUGAACUGGUAAUUAUUUAUCUUGGCGGAUAAUUAUAAGAUGAAAAGACAUUUUGGUUCAAGAAACCUGGUGCUUUUCAUCGUAAUAGAUUAAUGCACAUUGAACUAUACUUUAAGUAUGUUGAACAAACAAGUUUAUAAAUAACUGGCUCAACCAGAACUAAUGCUAUAAGCUUAAGAAAAUGGCGGAGUUUAUUGUACUGUUCCAAGAAAUAGCUUUUUUGCAAAGUCGAAUUUCCAUCAUUGCACCAAAUGUUGAUUGCUAGUACAUCACUGACAUGCAGUGGUAUUUCGAAUUUUACAGUACAGCAGCAGAUGCUGCCCUUCAGUCGUGUUACAGGCAUUUUUGGUAUUUAACCCAACAGCUUGUUGUAUUCAUGUUUAAUGAGUCAGUUACUGCAAUUGAACCUUUUACCGCAACUUUUAAAUUGUUAAGCAUCAAAAGAAAUGAACAAAUCAAGCUUUGAAAGGCAAUAUUUCCGCAAACUAAACUAAAUAAAAUUCCUGAUUUUGUGUCGCUGAUUGGGCCAGAUUCCUGGCUACUGUUUGAUUUUCUCAAAAUGAAACAUAAUCAAGCCGAUUGGUUGCUAAUACCUGUUGAACAUUUGACAAAGAUUAAGGACUAUAACUAUGUUAAAAAGAUAGUCAAGUAUUUAGAAGCUGCGCUGAACGAGGAGGCAAGCUGAUCCAAGAAUUUAAAAACAAAAUCAAAGAUCCAAAGCAGUUACAAUACGUACUUCAUAUUGUUGAGAAUCAUUGCAAACGGGUGUCUCCCAUUGGAAAAAAAGAGAACUUAAAUAACAUAUGGUUCUUAUUACCAUUGUUUUAGACAAUUUUAUACAUUAGUAACAUAUUAUUUCUGCCCUGUACAACCCCUAAAUAGUUUUUAUUCAGCCCAGUUUUUUUUACCUGUAAUACUUUACUUGAUGAAAAAUAGCAAACUAAAA